GUCGUGAGAUGUUGGGUUAAGUCCCGCAACGAGCGCAACCCUUGAUCUUAGUUGCCAGCAUUCAGUUGGGCACUCUAAGGUGACUGCCGGUGACAAACCGGAGGAAGGUGGGGAUGACGUCAAAUCAUCAUGCCCCUUAUGACCUGGGCUACACACGUGCUACAAUGGAUGGUACAAAGGGCAGCGAAACCGCGAGGUUAAGCGAAUCCCAUAAAACCAUUCUCAGUUCGGAUUGCAGGCUGCAACUCGCCUGCAUGAAGCUGGAAUCGCUAGUAAUCGCGGAUCAGCAUGCCGCGGUGAAUACGUUCCCGGGCCUUGUACACACCGCCCGUCACACCACGAGAGUUUGUAACACCCGAAGUCGGUGGGGUAACCGUAAGGAGCCAGCCGCCUAAGGUGGGACAGAUGAUUGGGGUGAAGUCGUAACAAGGUAGCCGUAUCGGAAGGUGCGGCUGGAUCACC
rnacentral:rRNA from 1 species